UACGGGGGGGGGGCAAGCGUUUGUUCGGAAUUACUGGGCGUAAAGGGCUCGUAGGUGGCCAACUAAGUCAGACGUGAAAUCCCUCGGCUUAACCGGGGAACUGCGUCUGAUACUGGAUGGCUAGAGAUUGGGAGAGGGAUGCGGAAUUCCAGGUGUAGCGGUGAAAUGCGUAGAUAUCUGGAGGAACACCGGUGGCGAAGGCGGCAUCCUGGACCAACACUGACGCUGAGGAGCGAAAAGCCAGGGGGAGCAAACGGG
rnacentral:rRNA from 1 species